GUCCACGCCGUAAACGAUGUCUACUCGGAGUUUGGUGUCUUGAACACUGGGCUCUCAAGCUAACGCAUUAAGUAGACCGCCUGGGGAGUACGGCCGCAAGGUUAAACUCAAAUGAAUUGACGGGGGCCCGCACAAGCGGUGGAGCAUGUGGUUUAAUUCGAUGCAACGCGAAGAACCUUACCUACUCUUGACAUCCACGGAAUUCGCUAGAGAUAGCUUAGUGCCUUCGGGAACCGUGAGACAGGUGCUGCAUGGCUGUCGU
rnacentral:rRNA from 1 species